rnacentral:lncRNA from 1 species
AAAGUUUAGGCCUUAAACUUCCUUUCCAGCUGGCUUAAACACCUGCCACGCCGUGCCCAUCCCAGCUAUUUUGAUAUGCUACAGAUGUUGCACCAUGAUAUAGCUAUGUUAUGCUAUCUCCCAUUCAGCAACCUCCACCAAGAACUACAAGACCUGUGCCACAUCACCAUCUCCAAUUUGAGACAUAUAACCCACACACCCUGGCUUGGUUAGAGCUCUCUAUGCAAAACCAUAGAUCUUCCACGUGCACCAGAUGAAAACUAGCUAUACCUUGUGUUUUCCCAACAAAAUCCAGCAUCUCCUUUCUACCUUCCACUUCCUAUUUAGUUGUACUACACUCUAGUGGUCCUGCUCCCUGAUCUUCAAACUCUCUUCAACAUACCACCACAUCUAUAUAAGAUAUUUUUGGCAUCUAGCAUGGUCUGCACC